rnacentral:rRNA from 1 species
GAUGAACGCUGGCGGCGUGCCUAAUACAUGCAAGUAGAACGCUGAAGGAAGGAGCUUGCUCUUUCCGGAUGAGUUGCGAACGGGUGAGUAACGCGUAGGUAACCUGCCUGGUAGCGGGGGAUAACUAUUGGAAACGAUAGCUAAUACCGCAUAACAGUAGAUGUUGCAUGAUAUCUACUUAAAAGGUGCAAUUGCACCACUACCAGAUGGACCUGCGUUGUAUUAGCUAGUUGGUGAGGUAACGGCUCACCAAGGCGACGAUACAUAGCCGAACUGAGAGGGUGAUCGGCCAGCCUGGGAGUGAGAACCGGCCCAGACUCCUACGGGAGGCAGCAGUAGGGAAUCGUCGGCAAUGGACGGAAGUCUGACCGAGCAACGCCGCGUGAGUGAAGAAGGUUUUCGGAUCGUAAAGCUCUGUUGUAAGAGAAGAACGAGUGUGAGAGUGGAAAGUUCACACUGUGACGGUAUCUUACCAGAAAGGGACGGCUAACUACGCG